rnacentral:tRNA from 1 species
AGAAAUUUAGGUUAAAGUACACCAAACCAAGGGCCUUCAAAGCCCUAAACAGAGAGAAACCCUCUAAUUUCUG